rnacentral:lncRNA from 10 species
CUGAGCGGGAAGCAUUGGCGUCCGAGCGACUUCUAGGAGCCUGGGGUUCGGCGCUAUGGAGGAGCUCGAUGGCGAGCCAACAGUCACUGGCGGGCACGGUGGCUCGCGCCUGUAGUCCUAGCACUUUGGGAGGCUGAGGCGGACGGAUCACCUGAACUCAGGAGUUUGUGACCAGCCUGGGCAAUAUGGUGAAACUCUAUCUCUACUAAAAAUGAAAAAAAAAAAAAAAAUAGCCGGGUGUGGUUGCACACACCUGUAGUCCCAGCUACUCAGGAGGUUGAGGCAGGAGAAGCCUUUGAACCCAGGAGGCGGCGAUUGGAGCAAGCUGAGAUUACACCACUGUACACCAGCCUGUUAGAUUGAUUCCAGGCGUGAAUUCCAAGAAGAACCAAAUGUAUUUUGACUGGGGUCCAGGGGAGAUGCUGGUAUGUGAAACCUCCUUCAACAAAAAAG